rnacentral:lncRNA from 1 species
GUAGAGAGAAUAAAUAUAAUAUUUCUUUUGUAUAAUUAUUGUCCUUAAGAGUCAUUGUAUAUGAGGAUAUAUAUGUCAUUUAAUAAUUCAUAAUAGAGUGAGGUCUAGUGAGCAAAUUUGGAGGUCCCAAUAGCCACACUCUUUUAGUUUAGUUUUUGACACAUUUGGUAAUAUUUUGCAAAAUAUAUUUUAUUUGAAGAUAUAGAAGUAGGUUUAACAAAACCAAGGUCUCGUUUGGUAUAAAAAUCAGCUUCUAUACGAUUUUUUUUUUUUUUAAAUUAACGUUAGUUCCAUAUAUUGGUAACUGAAAAUAGGAGUACGGCAUAAAAACAAUCCGCCCUCUAGGACACGUUAGAAUUGAACCAUGCAAAACAACUCAGAAACUUAAGACCUAAGAACCUAAACCAACUUAAGCUAUUUUAAUGUCAUAAACCAUAUGUAAGGUCGACACAAAAACUUGUCUUGGCGGCAAAAAAACCUAGUAACCAGUCACCAAGGCAUAUGUAGGAAGGGACAAGUUCUUAACCCAUCAUUAUUUGACCACUUCCGGGACCACCCUACGCAGAGGGGGCUACCCCAGAGCAUCAGCAAACCCUAAUUAAAGACCAAAGCCUAAGAACUAAGAAAAUGCUCUAGACCCGCACCCCGCAAGCAGUCCUAGUCUAAACUGAAAAAAUAAAAACAGAAACCAAACCAGGCCCAAAGGGAACCCUAGCCCAACUUCUACCAAACAAGAGCUUAAGCUUGAAGAUCUGAACAAAUGGGCCUAGCCCAACACUUUCGGCCAAAACCUUCCCUCACCACCAAUUGCUGGACCAGCAGCAUAGCGCCGAUGUCGUCCAUGUUGUUUCCUUCAUCCAUCAACGACACAUACCGACUGACCGCAGCCGACCACCGCCUCUCGUCAGAAGCUUCGAGAUCCUACCAGAGAACAAAUCUCACUCUUCAAUCCUGCAAACAUAUCCAAUCAAAAGAACAAAUCGAGCCCACCUUUCCGAGAUCCACUCAUCUCUGCCGACCCUACACCUCCCUGAAAACCACCCACAUAUUUACACUGUAACAGCCCAGUCCUUACCAUUGAGAUAUUAUCAACUUUGGACCCACCGGCCCUCACGGUUUUGCUCUUGAGGUUUCACCCCAAAACGUGUCUCAGUGUAAGGUGUUAGCUCUGCGCAUAUAAGCAUAGCAACUUGUCUCCCCCGGGCGAUGUGGGACGGGUGCACCUACUAGCUUGCCUGCCUAGUUAGGUCACCAUAAUCCACCCCCCUCAGGGGCCCGACGUCCGCAUCGAUACACUUCCAACCAGGGACAAGCUUUGAUACUAUCUGUAACAGCCAAGUCCCUACCAUUGAGAUAUUAUUCGCUUUGGGCCCACCGGCCCUCACCGGUUUUGCUCUUGAGUUCACCCCAAAACGCGUCUCAAUGUAAAGUGCUAGCUCUGCACAUAUAAGCACAACAACUUGUCUCCCCCGGGCGAUGUGGACCGGGUGCACCUACUAGCUUGUCUGUCUAGUUAGGUCACCACAAUCCUUAUUGUGAUGACUAUUGUGGUGACCUAACUGGGCGAGUGCUAAGAAGGGCACUGGCAAGCUAGUAGGUGCACGCGUCCCACAUCGCCCAGGGGAGACAAGUUGAUGUGCUUAUAUCUGCAGAGCUAGCACCUUACAUUGAGACGCGUUUUGGGGUAAGACCUCAAGAACAAAACUGUAAGGGCCAGUGGGCCCAAAGCGGACAAUAUCGCAAUGGUAGGGACUGGACUGUUGCAUACACCCACUCUCUGACACAACAAAGCUUAUCCGAACGUCUUCGAGCCGAAGACUCAAUCCAGCAGACUCGUCCGGGUGUGCCUGAUGUACGCCAGCUAGGCCAGAGGCCGUCGUCGGCACGAGGUGUAACUGCUCGAUUUGAUCUCUGCGGUUGCUCUCGCCCUAGGGUUUUGGAGAGUGGCGUGGUUGAAACUAUAUUAAAGGCAGAUAUUAUAUACAAACUUUUAGAUUUAAUAGUGUUUGGUAAACUAAUCAGCUUCUAUAUGAACUUUUAGAUUUAAUAGAGUUUGGUUAACUAAACAAAAAGUUUUUUCUGAAAAUUACUGGUGUCACAUCCCGACCCGUAAAUUUUUACCUUAUUUACUAGCUUGGUUAUAAUAAGAAUUUUACCGUCUCCGUCAUUGAAGUUAUAGUUUAAUUGGUCCCUAGAGGGGUUUCGGGGACAGUUAUGCUCGGAGGAUUAUUUGUAGGAGGAAAAUAUGACGACGGUAAAAAUGGUAAAUUUUAGCUAGUAAAAGGUAAUUUUUAUUCGGGUAUUAUUUUUCGGGGUGUUUUAUUUUUUGGAGUUGGGUUUAUAUUUGGUUUGGGUAGGAACCGGUUUAGGAAAAAAAAAAAAAAAAAGCCCAAACCCUAUUCUCUCUUCUCUCUCUCCUCCCUCCCGACUUUCUCUUCUCUCUCUCUCUUCUCCACGCCGGAGCGCCGUCGUCCGGCCGUCGCUGGUCGAGCUACCACCCCCAAUCGACUUGUCUCUCUCUCCUCUCUCUACUGCUACCCAUCAACUUGCCAGGCAUCAUCUAUCCCGUCCGAUCGAAACAAGAACCCUAAAUCCCCAAAACCCAAAUUCCGGCCGAAUCUUUUCUUUUCCAGUGAGCUUGUGCUUCGUGAAGGUAUGCUCAUCACUUCCCUCUAGUUUUUCGGUCUUCCUUGAGCUUCGAUUUCCAAAUAUAGAGCCCUAAUCAGAUUUCCCCCUUUCUUUGUUUUCUGGGUUUGAAGUUCGGUCUCCAACAAGGGCUUUUGUUCUUGAAUUUCAGUGUGUCCGUCGAGCUCAGGCGAACCUAGUUGUGGUUGGUGGGAGCCCCGACGCACUUUGGAAGAAGUNNNN